GAUGAACGCUGGCGGCGUGCCUAAUACAUGCAAGUCGAGCGAACAGACGAGGAGCUUGCUCCUCUGACGUUAGCGGCGGACGGGUGAGUAACACGUGGAUAACCUACCUAUAAGACUGGGAUAACUUCGGGAAACCGGAGCUAAUACCGUAUAAUAUAUUGAACCGCAUGGUUCAAUAGUGAAAGACGGUUGUGCUGUCACUUAUAGAUGGAUCCGCGCCGCAUUAGCUAGUUGGUAAGGUAACGGCUUACCAAGGCAACGAUGCGUAACCGACCUGAGAGGGUGAUCGGCCACACUGGAACUGAGACACGGUCCAGACGCCUACGGGAGGCAGCAGUAGGGAAUCUUCCGCAAUGGGCGAAAGCUUGACGGAGCAACGCCGCGUGAGUGAUGAAGGUCUUCGGAUCGUAAAACUCUGUUAUUAGGGAAGAACAAAUGUGUAAGUAACUAUGCACGUCUUGACGGUACCUAAUCAGAAAGCCACGGCUAACUACGUG
rnacentral:rRNA from 1 species